CUUGUUAAUGUCUUAUAAGUAGUUUAAUAAGGAAUAUUUUAAUGUGUUUAUGAACAGCUUAUUUGAACUUGUAAGUCAGUUGUAAGACAUUUACAAAUGCUUAUUAAUGUACUUAUAAGCAUCUUACUAAAACAUUACCAGUGCUUGUGUGGCAAGUAGGACACGCCCACUAAUUGUGAGGCAGCAGUAACACACUUGUGUUAAUUUGGUGGCGGUGCUUUAAAAGCUCUCCUCCUCUUCGUCGGACAUGAACUUGUGCUGUGCUGUACAUCCAAGGCAUCGGGAAGUAGAACGGGGGUUGGCAGGCAGGUAAGCCGGGCUUUGAGUUCUCUGAACCGAAUAGGGAGUGGGAGCUGACAAUUAGACUCGUUCACAGCUCCAUGCACACAAGAAAUCGGCCAGACUUUAACGGCGAUAAUCUGCAAGCGUGACGUGACUCUGUUCACCUAGAUGCGAUCUCCUCUCAGUGACCGGUAUGUUUAACUGGCUUUCACCUGCACAUACAAUUAAGGCUCCUGCAAACUAUUUUUCUUUUUCUUCAGGAACGUGUUUUAGGCUGCACGCCCUUCUCUCCCCGCAAAUAGGGGAUUAAGCUGCUGCUUUGCUUUUAUUGUUUUUAUUGUGAUAUCUGUCCGGGUCCCACCCCAGCCACGACGGAACCGGUUGGAGUGAACGCCCAGCUCACGGAGACGUCGUUGCUGUGGCAUCUCACCGGACUGUGGACGGCUUCCACCCGCUGAUCGGCGGUGGUUGGGCGGCUUACCUGCGCCCUGGAACACUAAUCAUCUUUUUAAUCUUUAUUUUUAAUUGUGUGUCUUUUAUUGAUAUUUUCAAUUUUAUUCUUGUUUCAGGAGGUAGGAGGCCGAGGUGGUGGACUGCUGUGUCUGGUGGUGGGUCCCAGUGUGCUGUGUGGUUUCCAUCACGUGUGCAGUGAUUCACAAAAAGGGGUGUUUGCAUUGUUUUUAUGCUGUUUUUAGCCACCUCGGUAAGCUCCUCCUCCAGAACAUUUUUAACUGACUUUUAUCAAGGAUUGUUUUAUUAAAAGGUUUCUUAACAUUGUUUUUAACUGAAUGCUAAUAAAUUAUAUUUUAAAACAAACCGCAGCCUCUGCCUUGGUUUAGAGCAGGACCUGCCCCUGCCUUACUUUAAAAUCUUUUCCUGGGGCUCAGCAGCCCCAGGUGGCGUUGUCAACCCGUUUUCUCGUGCUGCCACACUUGUUUAUGUCUUAUAAAUAGUUUAUUAAGGACUCUUAUUAUAAAGCGUUACCAAUAUCUUUGAAUGGAUCAAAGAUCGGAUUAGAAUUGAACUGUGUACAUGGGCUCAGAAAAACUUUAUCUGACUAUAACAAACGCUUACAUACACCACACUUUCGGUCAGAAUAAAUCAUUUUAAAAUGCGGAGCACUCUCUAAAAUACCAGAAAUGGCCAUAGAAGAAGAAAUAAUGACUUCCGUUGUAAACCAACAAUGCUUCGGCACAGAGCAAGAUGAUCUUCCAAAUGAGCUUUUAUUAUUGUUAUGAUUAUUAUUAAGUGACUUUUCGCUCAUAAUUUUCUAAAUUCGUGCGGCCAGUGUUUUAUUCUUGGCAGAACGGACCCGGAAGAAGGUUAUGAUUAGGCCAACAACAACAUUUAGCCGUGGAUGAACUUAAAAACUCAGUGCGGCCAAUGCCGCAAUGUGCCACGUAAUAUGUGCUAAUUAACAUUAGCCUUUAUUUUGUCUGGACAUGACUGGUAACACAAAUUCAUGUGAUCGUUUACACGGUUUCUCAGGACUCGCUAACGCAGAGCGAAAGCACCCUCCCCUGCCCGCAUACACGAAGCUACGAAUCCGGGUGCUCUGCUCAGAGCGGAGCAGCCGGCUGGUCCUGUUUGUGCUCCAGAGCCUUCUCUGGAGCGCCACACCGUCUAUGCAUGUCGUAAAGCCGGAGCAAUAGUGACCCAAAAUCAGAAUAAACUGUUUACAUGCACCACGAUUGGAUCAACAAUCGGCAUAACCCACCUAUCUCGAUCGGAAAGACAUUUUGCCGUUAACCUCAGCUAUUGCCUCACCAGCCACCAACCUCACCAGCCACAUCAUUGGAACAGACAUCUCUAGAACAUCAUAACUGUCUGUGGAUGUUGUCUAAAUAAGCUGAUCUUUUACAGACAGUUGCGGUCAUGUUCACCUUCUGGCCUCUGCUGGAUCCUGUCCCAAAGGACUGACAGUCAACAAGUUGGGCUUUGAAGUCAGACAUCUGUAACAAGAAAAAUACAGGGCACCGUGGAGAGCUUCCUGACCAGCUGCAUCACGGUGUGUUAUGGCGCCUGCAUUCGCUUCCUGCCGAAAGUCCGUCCAAUGCAUUGUGAGGAUCAUCGGUGCCCCCUUCCCCUCCCUCUAGGACAUCCACAGCACCCGUCUCACCCGGAAAGCCCCUCUGCAUUGCAGAUGACCCGACCCAUCCAUCGCACAGCUCUUUCAGUCUGCUGCCAUCUGGUAGGAGACUACGCAGUCUUCAGGCCAGGACCAUCAGGACCAGCAGACUCAAAGACAGUUUUCUCCUCCAGGCUCUCAGGAAGCUGAACUCUCUCCCGGCCCUGCCCCCCCUCCCCUCUCGUUGCCCCGUUGCCCCCCUGCUCUGCUGAACUCUGACACCCACACUUCAUCUACCUCGUCAGCACUGUACUGCACCUUCCACCAGUUCACUGGUGCUUUACAAAAAUGAAAAACUAUACUACAGUCACUCUAUUAUUUCUCAUUUUUGCAGUCACUUAAUUUUUUUCCUUUUAUUCUAUUUCAUUUUGUAAUUUGAAGUUAGAUUCCCUAUUUAGACGAGUGUGAAGAGAAACGGAAUUUCACUUUCUAUGUAUGUGAAAACAUUAUAGAGAUUGACAAAAAUGUACUUUGACUUUGAACUCCUUGAAAUUAGCCACAGUCUCUUGGUGUCACGAUUAGGCAAACAGGAGGAAACCCAGAUGCAUGGAGGAACCACAAGCACAUUUGAAGCAAAGUCCCACAAGACUUAUUUACAAGGCUGAUCCAACAUAACAUAGACUGCUACAGGGAUCAUGAAGAGAAUGGGCGGAGUCACAGCCAGCUUGCACAGAAACCAGAGAAAGAAAAAUGAGUAACAACAUAGAACCAACAUUUGGCCGAUUAGGCAGACACAGUUAUUUCAUUUUUCACAGAAAAAAUGUGCCAGUUUCAUCUUGUUCUGGAACCCAUGGCCUUCACUCAAUGUUCCGUUUUUUUAAAUUGACCUUUUAUUUACAAAUCUAGCCUUUUUCUCGAUUUGUUCCUGCCUUGUGCUACUGCUUCUUGUCCAUUCAAGCAGCUGCCAUCUCCUGCUGAAACCGUUAGCAUAACCAUCUGCCCUCCACUGAGCCAACAGUUGAGUGAGUAUGUGUUUUUGCUUUAAGCUUUGCAAGUGAAGGAGCCAAAAGGUUGGAAGAUAGAAUUGGAAGUUGGAAAUUGGAAGAUAGAACAUUAAUCGAUCCCCACAACGGAGAAGUUGAUUGGUUAUCAUGGAUGACAAAAAACCCAGAUAAUAGCUCUAAAAUACAAUAAAUAAGUCAAUGAGUGUCCAGUGUCUUUGAGGCGUUGUAGGGUCUAAUAGCGGAUGAAAGAUCAGCUAAAGUGCUCUUUCCUGAAGUGAGGUGUUUCAGUCUCUAACUGAAGGAGCUCCUCGGUGCUCAUUUGGUCUCAUGUAGAGGAUGAUGAGGAUUAUCCAUCAUGGAUUCCAGUUUCUGUUGAAUCCUUCUCCCAUCCACCACAGUCACAGAUCCUAGGGGACAUCCCAGAACGAAACCGGAUCUCCGAACCAGUUUUUCGAUUGUCUUCCUGUCGGAAAACACUCUGAAGAACAGGGCAGAUGCAACGGCGCCUUCAUAAAAGACUCUGAUAGUCCUGCAAACUCAGAGGGACCCCAGUUUCCUGACCACUAAAAUACUCAACUGGAACACCAUUUAAGUAAACCCAAACUAUGAGAUAAAGAAUAAGAUCUGGAAAACAUAUAGGGGAAAUAAGUAUAUUUAAAAUUGAAUGUAAACAUCAAAACCUACUAUAUUGUUUGUUUUUUGGUGGACACUGGAUUCAUGGUGUCUACCAUCACAGAGCACUUCUUCCAGAAGCCUCUAAACCCACAAGGUUCUUAAAAGCUUUGUUCUUUCCCAUAGUUACAGUUGAGUUAGCCAUCCCUUAUGUUGGCUACUUGGAACUGGAGGCUGACGUUUGUGGAAAGGUCACAGCUAAGGAUGGAAUAUUGGUGGUUAAAGACCCCCAGGAGCUUCUAAGCAAGCCCCUGAUAUUUUAGGGAUGAAUGUCAUUAAGUGUGACUGUCAGGGUUCUGACUUUUUCC